rnacentral:rRNA from 1 species
CAUGAGGAGGCGGUGGGUCGGCCCGACUCCUACUGGCGGGAGCGGACGGCGAACGCGGCGGAGGACGCGGGCGGGGUGCGGCAGUUCGUCGCCGAGGCGGCGGACGGGUCCUGGGUGGGCACGGUCACCGUGCUGAUCGAGGAGGCCGGGGCGACGGACUGGGCCGGGUUCCCGGUCGCGCGGCGGCAGGGGCAUCUCGUCGGGGUGUACGUGCGGCCCGGGCACCGGGGGAGCUGGGUGACCGGGGCGUUGUUCGACGCCGCGCUGGAGUGGGCGUGGGGGCGCGGGGCGGAGCGUGUGCGGCUCAUCGUGCAUCCGGAGAACGCGCGGGCGCUGGGCUUCUACCGCACGAAUAGACGUAACGACUUCUCGACUGUCUCAACCAUAGGCCCGGUGAAAUUGCACUACGAGUAAAGAUGCUCGUUUCGCGCAGCAGGACGGAAAGACCCCGGGACCUUUACUACAGUUUGAUAUUGGUGUUCGGUUCGGCUUGUGUAGGAUAGCUGGGAGACUGUGAAGCGGCCACGCCAGUGGUCGUGGAGUCGUCGUUGAAAUACCAGUCUGGUCGUGCUGGAUGUCUAACCUGGGUCCGUGAUCCGGAUCAGGGACAGUGUCUGAUGGGUAGUUUAACUGGGGCGGUUGCCUCCUAAAGGGUAACGGAGGCGCCCAAAGGUUCCCUCAGCCUGGUUGGCAAUCAGGUGGUGAGUGUAAGUGCACAAGGGAGCUUGACUGUGAGACCGACGGGUCGAGCAGGGACGAAAGUCGGGACUAGUGAUCCGGCGGUGGCUUGUGGAAGCGCCGUCGCUCAACGGAUAAAAGGUACCCCGGGGAUAACAGGCUGAUCUUCCCCAAGAGUCCAUAUCGACGGGAUGGUUUGGCACCUCGAUGUCGGCUCGUCGCAUCCUGGGGCUGGAGUCGGUCCCAAGGGUUGGGCUGUUCGCCCAUUAAAGCGGUACGCGAGCUGGGUUUAGAACGUCCUGAGACAGUUCGGUCCCUAUCCGCUGUGCGCGCAGGAGUCUUGAGAAGGGCUGUCCCUAGUACGAGAGGACCGGGACGGACGAACCUCUGGUGUGCCAGUUGUCCUGCCAAGGGCAUGGCUGGUUGGCUACGUUCGGGAGGGAUAACCGCUGAAAGCAUCUAAGCGGGAAGCCUGCUUCGAGAUGAGGACUCCCACCCACUUGAUGGGGUAAGGCUCCCAGCAGACGACUGGGUUGAUAGGCCGGAUCUGGAAGCACGGUAACGUGUGGAGGUGACCGGUACUAAUAGGCCGAGGGCUUGUCCUC